rnacentral:rRNA from 1 species
AAAUUGAAGAGUUUGAUCAUGGCUCAGAUUGAACGCUGGCGGCAGGCCUAACACAUGCAAGUCGAACGGUAACAGGAAGCAGCUUGCUGCUUCGCUGACGAGUGGCGGACGGGUGAGUAAUGUCUGGGAAACUGCCUGAUGGAGGGGGAUAACUACUGGAAACGGUAGCUAAUACCGCAUAACGUCGCAAGACCAAAGAGGGGGACCUUCGGGCCUCUUGCCAUCGGAUGUGCCCAGAUGGGAUUAGCUUGUUGGUGGGGUAACGGCUCACCAAGGCGACGAUCCCUAGCUGGUCUGAGAGGAUGAUCAGCCACACUGGAACUGAGACACGGUCCAGACUCCUACGGGAGGCAGCAGUGGGGAAUAUUGCACAAUGGGCGCAAGCCUGAUGCAGCCAUGCCGCGUGUAUGAAGAAGGCCUUCGGGUUGUAAAGUACUUUCAGCGGGGAGGAAGGGAGUAAAGUUAAUACCUUUG